UACGAAGGUGGCUAGCGUUGUUCGGAAUUACUGGGCGUAAAGCGCGCGUAGGCGGCUUUGCAAGCCAGAGGUGAAAUGCCUGAGCUUAACUUGGGAAUUGCCUUUGGGACUGCGAGGCUUUGAGGACGGGAGAGGUGAGUGGAAUUCCCAGUGUAGAGGUGAAAUUCGUAGAUAUUGGGAAGAACACCGGUGGCGAAGGCGGCUCACUGGCCCGGUUCUGACGCUCAAGCGCGAAAGCGUGGGGAUCAAACAGG
rnacentral:rRNA from 1 species